rnacentral:rRNA from 1 species
UACGGAGGGGGCUAGCGUUGUUCGGAAUUACUGGGCGUAAAGCGCACGUAGGCGGCUUUGUAAGUUAGAGGUGAAAGCCCGGGGCUCAACUCCGGAAUUGCCUUUAAGACUGCAUCGCUAGAAUUGUGGAGAGGUAAGUGGAAUUCCGAGUGUAGAGGUGAAAUUCGUAGAUAUUCGGAAGAACACCAGUGGCGAAGGCGACUCACUGGCCCGUUACUGACGCUGAGGCGCGAAAGCGUGGGGAGCAAACGGG